GGUGAACGCUGGCGGCGUGCCUAAUACAUGCCAGUCGAGCGAACAGACGAGGAGCUUGCUCCUCUGACGUUAGCGGCGGACGGGUGAGUAACACGUGGAUAACCUACCUAUAAGACUGGGAUAACUUCGGGAAACCGGAGCUAAUACCGGAUAAUAUAUUGAACCGCAUGGUUCAAUAGUGAAGGACGGUUUUGCUGUCACUUAUAGAUGGAUCCGCGCCGCAUUAGCUAGUUGGUAAGGUAACGGCUUACCAAGGCGACGAUGCGUAGCCGACCUGAGAGGGUGAUCGGCCACACUGGAACUGAGACACGGUCCAGACUCCUACGGGAGGCAGCAGUAGGGAAUCUUCCGCAAUGGGCGAAAGCCUGACGGAGCAACGCCGCGUGAGUGAUGAAGGUCUUCGGAUCGUAAAACUCUGUUAUUAGGGAAGAACAAAUGUGUAAGUAACUAUGCACGUCUUGACGGUACCUAAUCAGAAAGCCACGGCUAACUACGUG
rnacentral:rRNA from 1 species